UGGGGAAUAUUGCACAAUGGGCGCAAGCCUGAUGCAGCCAUGCCGCGUGUAUGAAGAAGGCCUUCGGGUUGUAAAGUACUUUCAGCGGGGAGGAAGGCGUUGUGGUUAAUAACCACAGCGAUUGCCGUUACCCGCAGAAGAAGCACCGGCUAACUCCGUGCCAGCAGCCGCGGUAAUACGGCGGGUGCAAGCGUUAAUCGGAAUUACUGGGCGUAAAGCGCACGCAGGCGGUCUGUUAAGUCAGAUGUGAAAUCCCCGGGCUCAACCUGGGAACUGCAUUUGAAACUGGCAGGCUUGAGUCUCGUAGAGGGGGGUAGAAUUCCAGGUGUAGCGGUGAAAUGCGUAGAGAUCUGGAGGAAUACCGGUGGCGAAGGCGGCCCCCUGGACGAAGACUGACGCUCAGGUGCGAAAGCGUGGAGAGCAAACA
rnacentral:rRNA from 1 species